CGACAACACCUCCUUCUGACCUCCACAGGAACCAGUAAUUUGCAUGUAUGUCCCUCCUGUCUUCCUGAAAUGGACCAGAAACUGCUUAAAGGUAUUCUAUUCAUCUUCGCGUCCCCUCCACCUAGGACAGUGCCCAGCACCUGAGGGACCUGGAAGGCACACGAAGUGCAACCUGACCACUGAACAAUACCGGGACAAGUGGCACCCAUCUUCCAGCAAAGCAGGUCCAUGCCCGCAGCUUGGGAAGGCUACAGAUGUUCUCCAGCGGUCUCUAGAACAGAACCAAGCGCCCUCCUGUCUUUC